AGCCUUCUGAAUCCGUUCCGAGAUUUCGCCAGACACCAGACUAUCAGUACUGACGAGACUUCCGCGACAAGCGAAGCG
rfam:Schistosoma margrebowiei strain Zambia genome assembly, scaffold: SMRZ_contig0000132